AUUGAACGCUGGCGGCAGGCCUAACACAUGAAAGUCGAGCGGAGCGGCGGACGGGUGAGUAAUGCCUAGGAAUCUGACUGGUAGUGGGGGAUAACGUCCGGAAACGGGCGCUAAUACCGCAUAAUAUCAGAUGAGCCUAGGUCGAGGUAGCGGGUUUGUGGGGUAAAGGCCUACCAAGGCGAAGAUCCGUAAAUGGUCUGAGAGGAUGAUCAGUAACACUGGAACUGAGACACGGUCCAGACUCCUACGGGAGGCAGCAGUGGGUAAUAUUGGACAAUGGGCGAAAGCCUGAUCCAGCCAUGCCGCGUGUGUGAAGAAGGUCUUCGGAUUGUAAAGCACUUUAAGUUGGGAGGCGUUACCAACAGAAUAAGCACCGGCUAACUUCGUGCCAGCAGCCGCGGUAAUAC
rnacentral:rRNA from 1 species